UGUGUGUGUGUGUAAGGGUGCUGUAUGUGAGGUUGCUGUUAGUGUGAGGGUGCUGUUAGUGUGAGUGUGCUGUGUAUGUGAGGGGGCUGUUAGUGUAAAGGUGCUGUUAGUGUGUGUGUGCUGUGUGUGUGAAGGCCCUGUGUGUGUGAGGGUGCUGUUAGUGUGUGUGCUGUGUGUGUAAGGGUGCUGUGUGUGUAAAGGUGAUGUGUGUGAGGGUGCUGUUAGUGUGUGUGCUGUGUGUGUAAGGGUGAUGUAUGUGUGUGUGUGUGUGUGGGUGCUGUUUGUGUGGGGGUGGGGGGAGCAUUUAGUUAAUAGCCCCCUGCCUUCUUACCUUUUUAUUAUUAUUAUUAUUAUGGUAUUUAUAUAGCGCCAUCAAAUUCCGCAGCGCUUUAUGA